UUUUUAGAAAAUUACAAAAAGAUAAAAAUCCUAAACAUUUUUUUUAUUUUACAACUAUACCACUAUUAUCAAUAUCUCCAAACACCAUGAACAAUCACGUUAGAGCUCUUAAAUCUUAAACAUUAAAUUUCUAUAUAUCUUCUUCUUACUCUAGACCAACAAAACUUCAUUUCUUUUCAUUUUCCUGUUCACUUUCAUCUAAAAUACUUAUAUAACUUUCAAUUUCAUAAACACAACUUUUAUAUUUUUAUAA
rnacentral:lncRNA from 1 species